rnacentral:rRNA from 1 species
CUGACGGAGCACGCCGCGUGAGUGAUGAAGGUUUUCGGAUCGUAAAGCUCUGUUGUUAGGGAAGAACAAGUGCGAGAGUAACUGCUCGCACCUUGACGGUACCUAACCAGAAAGCCACGGCUAACUACGUGCCAGCAGCCGCGGUAAUACGUAGGUGGCAAGCGUUGUCCGGAAUUAUUGGGCGUAAAGGGCUCGCAGGCGGUUUCUUAAGUCUGAUGUGAAAGCCCCCGGCUCAACCGGGGAGGGUCAUUGGAAACUGGGAAACUUGAGUGCAGAAGAGGAGAGUGGAAUUCCACGUGUAGCGGUGAAAUGCGUAGAGAUGUGGAGGAACACCAGUGGCGAAGGCGACUCUCUGGUCUGUAACUGACGCUGAGGAGCGAAAGCGUGGGGAGCGAACAGGAUUAGAUACCCUGGUAGUCCACGCCGUAAACGAUGAGUGCUAAGUGUUAGGGGGUUUCCGCCCCUUAGUGCUGCAGCUAACGCAUUAAGCACUCCGCCUGGGGAGUACGGUCGCAAGACUGAAACUCAAAGGAAUUGACGGGGGCCCGCACAAGCGGUGGAGCAUGUGGUUUAAUUCGAAGCAACGCGAAGAACCUUACCAGGUCUUGACAUCCUCUGACAACCCUAGAGAUAGGGCUUUCCCUUCGGGGACAGAGUGACAGGUGGUGCAUGGUUGUCGUCAGCUCGUGUCGUGAGAUGUUGGGUUAAGUCCCGCAACGAGCGCAACCCUUGAUCUUAGUUGCCAGCAUUCAGUUGGGCACUCUAAGGUGACUGCCGGUGACAAACCGGAGGAAGGUGGGGAUGACGU